CAGCUCUCCGAGUGGUAGGGAUGAUUAUUGGGCUUAAAGCGUCCGUAGCCUGCUUAGCAAGUCCCCUGUUAAAUUCAGCGACCUAAUCGUUGAGCCGCGGGAGAUACUACUAGGCUAGGAGGCGGGAGAGGUCGACGGUACUUCUGGGGUAGGGGUGAAAUCCUAUAAUCCCAGGAGGACCACCAGUGGCGAAGGCUGUCGACUAGAACGCGCUCGACGGUGAGGGACGAAAGCUGGGGGAGCGAACCGGAUUAGAUACCCGAGUAGUCC
rnacentral:rRNA from 1 species